rnacentral:rRNA from 1 species
UACGGGGGGAGCAAGCGUUGUUCGGAUUUACUGGGCGUAAAGGGCGCGUAGGCGGUCAGCACAAGUCAGUUGUGAAAUCUCCGGGUUUAACUCGGAAAGGUCAACUGAUACUGUGCGACUAGAGUGCGGAAGGGGCAACUGGAAUUCUCGGUGUAGCGGUGAAAUGCGUAGAUAUCGAGAGGAACACCUGCGGCGAAGGCGGGUUGCUGGGCCGUAACUGACGCUGAGGAGCGAAAGCAUGGGGAGCGAACAGG